CAGUUCUGAGGGGAUUUCAGGUUUAAGGACCUUAGGUAGAGCCCUAUUACCCCUCACUUGUUCUCUCUCUCUCCUCCUCAGUCCCCAGGUUCCGCCAAGGACACAGAGAAACUGUGACAUGGAAACGUGACCUGAUUGAAAGCCUACGGUGUGCCAGGCUCUGUGCUAGAUUUAAUCAUCAGAAACAAAUGAACUGGAGUGUUUGCAAGAGAAGAAAACACAUCGGUGCCUUUUGCAAAUGGCACUGGGGCAGAGAGGGUCUGUGGGCUGUCCCCGCCCCCCCAAACUGAUCCCCACCAAGCAAAGAUGCCCACAGUGGUCCUAGUUGUCUGUUCCCCCACCAAAAAAAGAGGAGACCUCAAUUACAGAAGACAUUUGGCAUUCUGGACCCAGGACAUACUCCAAGAACAAACCACUGUAAACAAGCACAGGAAGUCCAAGCCCAUUUUCUGAAAGAGGGAAUAAAGAAGAGGUAUGGGAAUGGAGUUUAACACACUCACAGUGACCCAGGCAACGUGUCUGUCUCCUUCAAGCGUCUCCCAAAGAGAGGUCAUUGUUCUGCCUGA